CAGCAACACCAUUUUCUGAGUAUCAACUACCUAUUAUCUCGCAUUUAUUCAUUACCUUUUGGCCUACACUUGUGCUCUUUCAAUGUGUAGUAAAGUUUCAAAUAUCAGUUUUAUGCAGCUGCAAAGUUCUGUUUCACUUGAGAUACUUGGCUGUUUCAUGUACACUGCCACCAAUAUUUCUCGAUAUGAACAAUUCAGAUCCAAUUGAAAUACAACGUCUCCUUCUCAAUAUUACGAUUUUGAGACACGUACAUUUCAGGGGUGAUAAAUAUUUGAGUGCAUCCUGCCAUCAGCAAGCAACUACUGAUAAGGACUUCCUAAGAAAUAAUAACUUACAAAGUAUUUCUACACUCUCAGUUCCUGAUAAAAUAGGUGAGAAAAUUUUGAGAUGUUCACCCAACCUUUGUAGACUGAAAGGUAGGCUUAGAUCUUAACUCAACUAUUUUUUCUACAGCCUUAGGAAUCACUAAAGCUAUCACCUGACUACAAGAAAGCGGCACAAUCAUGUUCCAGUUUAAUCAUUUUGCCCUCAAAUCUAAAAAAUUUGACUCUUGUUAAUAAACAUGUGCCUCUGAAACAAAUGGAGAUAGUCGGGAUAUUGCAGUACCUUGAGGUUCUCACUUUGGAAAUGGUUGCCUUUGAGGGAGGACAAAGGGACAAGUGAAGUUGAAUUUCCACAAAUUAAAUUCUUGAAACUAGAUGUAGUACAGAUUGCAGAAUGGAAGCUUCAAGUGAUAAUUUCCCAAGACUUCAACGCCUAGUAUUGCUAUAUUGCGACCAUUUGAAGAUGAUCCCUCUCGGUUUCAGAUAUAUUCUAACAUUACAAAUGAUUGAGGUAUUUCCAUGCUUGUAAGGAGUUAAAGUAUCUGCGAAGCAAAUUCAGGAAGAACAACAGGAUUAUGGAAAUGAAGAGCUUAAAGCCUUAAUCUCUAACUACUAAACAAAGCAUUAGUUUUUGGUGGUAUACUCCAAUUCUUUAAAAAUUCCAUUUUCACUUAUUUGAUUAGAUUUGUGAGAAGUUUCAUUUUUCUUGUAGGAAAUUACCUUUUGCAGCACUCAGAGUCCCUUCAGAAAGUAACAAGAGAGAAUCUCUUCUUUUCAUCUCUUUCGCAUUCUGUAUAUUGUGUGUAUUACUGAAAUGAAACAUCAAAUAAUUCUAUUGCGUCUUACCCUUGUUUUGAAACUGGAGGUUUGCUAUAUUUUAUUGACUGUUGAUGCUAUUCUUCAAAUUACUAUCCCAUCUUUUUGGACAUUGAUUCUUUAUUAUAUGAGCAUUUUAUAAUACUCGACUAUUCUGAAACAUGCAAACUCUUGUAGAAUGAGAAGUCCAUCAAUCCCAGUGGAUCUAUUGCACUAGCAUGAGUAAAAGAUCUGUUAUGUGGCCCCAUUUUCAUCAGCAGCUGCUCCUUUAAGUCUAGAUAUGAAGAAGACCAUUUCUGAUACAAAAGACUAGCUAUCUACUGCAGUUAUAACAAAUUAGUGUGAUUUGUAAUUUUUUUCUCGUUUAAUGAGUGUAUAGAAUUGGUUAGGCUAGAAUAUUCUUUUUGAUAAUACAUGUAAUAUAUAUUUAGCAUAAUAAUAUAUAUUUAGUUUCCUUAUUAUUUUAGAUUCCUAAUUUUGUAGGUUUCCUUGUAAUUAUUGACUUUGGUUUGUCAUUUUUGC
rnacentral:lncRNA from 1 species